rnacentral:rRNA from 1 species
AUGCAAGUCGUACGAGGGUUUUUAACUUUAGUGGCGGACGGGUGAGUAACACGUGAGAAUUUGCCUUUAGGAGGGGGAUAACAAUCGGAAACGAAUGCUAAUACCCCAUAUGCUUUUGAGUGAAAUGGAUUUAUCCGCCUAAAGAGAAGCUCGCGGCUGAUUAGCUUGUUGGUAAGGUAAGAGCUUACCAAGGCGACGAUCAGUAUCUGGUUUGAGAGGACGAUCAGACACACUGGAACUGAGACACGGUCCAGACUCCUACGGGAGGCAGCAGUGGGGAAUUUUCCGCAAUGGGCGAAAGCCUGACGGAGCAAUACCGCGUGAGGGAAGACUGCCUAUGGGUUGUAAACCUCUUUUUUCAGGGAGGAAUAAAUUGACGUGUACCUGAAGAAUAAGCAUCGGCUAACUCCGUGCCAGCAGCCGCGGUAAGACGGAGGAUGCAAGUGUUAUCCGGAAUCACUGGGCGUAAAGCGUCUGUAGGUGGUUUAAUAAGUCAACUGUUAAAUCUUGAGGCUCAACUUCAAAAUCGCAGUCGAAACUAUUAGACUAGAGUAUAGUAGAGGUAAAGGGAAUUUCCAGUGGAGCGGUGAAAUGCGUAGAUAUUGGAAAGAACACCAAUGGCGAAAGCACUUUACUGGGCUAUUACUAACACUCAGAGACGAAAGCUAGGGUAGCAAAUGGGAUUAGAUACCCCAGUAGUCCUAGCCGUAAACUAUGGAUACUAGAUG